rnacentral:rRNA from 1 species
AUUCCAGCUCCAAUAGCGUAUAUUAAAGUUGUUGCAGUUAAAAAGCUCGUAGUUGGAUUUCUGGCGUGAGGCGACUGUUCCUAGGCUCUAUGCCUAGUGUAACAGAUCGCCUCGGCCAUCCUUCUGGAAAACGGCCCUGCUCUUCAUUGAGUUGGGGUCGGGAUCCAGAUCUUUUACUUUGAAAAAAUUAGAGUGUUUAAAGCAGGCUUAUGCCUUGAAUACAUUAGCAUGGAAUAAUAAUUUAGGACUUUGGUUCUAUUUUGUUGGUUUCUAGAACUGAAGUAAUGAUUGAUAGGGAUAGUUGGGGGUGCUAGUAUUCAGCGGCCAGAGGUGAAAUUCUUGGAUUCGCUGAAGACUAACUUAUGCGAAAGCAUUCACCAAGGAUGUCUUCAUUA